rnacentral:rRNA from 1 species
GACGAACGCUGGCGGCGUGCCUAAUACAUGCAAGUAGAACGCACAGUUUAUACCGUAGCUUGCUACACCAUAGACUGUGAGUUGCGAACGGGUGAGUAACGCGUAGGUAACCUGCCUGGUAGCGGGGGAUAACUAUUGGAAACGAUAGCUAAUACCGCAUAAUAUUAAUUAUUGCAUGAUAAUUAAUUGAAAGGUGCAAUUGCACCACUACCAGAUGGACCUGCGUUGUAUUAGCUAGUAGGUGAGGUAACGGCUCACCUAGGCGACGAUACAUAGCCGACCUGAGAGGGUGAUCGGCCACACUGGGACUGAGACACGGCCCAGACUCCUACGGGAGGCAGCAGUAGGGAAUCUUCGGCAAUGGACGAAAGUCUGACCGAGCAACGCUGCGUGAGUGAAGAAGGUUUUCGGAUCGUAAAGCUCUGUUGUAAGAGAAGAACGGGUGUGAGAGUGGAAAGUUCACACUGUGACGGUAUCUUACCAGAAAGGGACGGCUAACUACGUG